GCUCCCCAAUUUCUGCACUAAAUUCGUACUUUCUAAUUGGGUUGUAAACUCUCAAAGCAUCUGCACUGGGCUUGCUUCGGUUUGCUUCUCCUCCCUGCUCCCCUCCCAGCCUUGCCUGUUCCCUGUCUGCUCUGUGUCCUGGGAUGCAGGGCUCUGGAGCCUGGAGCAGUGGGCUCCCAUGAUGUCUAGUUUCCAGCUGGGUUCACUCCAUGGGAUAGUGUGUGGAAGACAGGAGGGGAGGGAGUCUGGGUACCCACCUCCCCAGCCCUUCCUUUCGGAUUCCCUGUAGGUCAUGUACUUCCUCUUCCUAAAGGUCCUGGCUUCUGUCCAGGGAGCUCUCAUUGCCACUACCCUCUUGGCUUCCUGUAAUUACUUCUUCACUUUUAGGAAUCGUCCCCUGAUGUUGCUGGCCACAGGAUUCUGAAUUAGCCUGCACUGAUUUCCUAAAUCCUAUCUGCGCCUUUGCCUCAGGAAAGAUUUAGGAUCUGUGUGUUCAAUUGAAUUGCUAUUGUUUGAACUUUAAAAACCAGAGCUGACCUUUGGAGAAGAGGAGAAGGGUAGCUUUGUGUCUUUCUUCAGUGCAAGACUCAACUGAGUUUUAAAAGUCACAGCUGCUGGACCAAAUUGAAGAUGGUUUCAUCCCCAAGGGCGAUAGCCCCGGAAAGCUCAGAGCAGGGAACCCAUCCAAAGGUCACCGAUGAAGACCUGCCCAAUCUUACUGGCCCUCCGGUGGCCUCUACUCAAUCUGCCCCCUGCCCCAGCCAGCACUGCAGGGCUUCCUGACGAUGGUAGGACUGUUAAGAAGCUGAGAGCCACAGUAAAAAGCCACAAGGAUGUCCCAAGUUACAUUUCCAACCUUGUCACCUGCUUCCUUCACAAACCCACUUUUCUGGGCAGAAAAGUGCACCCUGCCAGCAGAACACGCCUGGUUCCUUCCUCCCUCCAAACUUCCGCCCACGCUCGCCUCUGUAGCCUCUGUAGCCAGAUGUGCUCCUCUUCAUAUCUUUUUUUUUUCUUAAGAAAGUUUCUUGCUCUGUUGCUCAGGCUGGAGUACAGUGGCAUGAUCAUGGCUCACUGCCACCUUGACCUCCUGGGCUCAGGCGAUCCUCCCUCUUCAGUCUCCAGAGUAGCUGGGACCACAGGUGCACACCACCAUGCCCAACUAAUUAAAAAAAAUUUUUUUUUUGUAGAGACGAGCUCUCACCAUGUUUCCCAGACUGGUCUAGAAUGCCUGGGCUCAAGCGAUCCUCCCUCCUCAGCCUCCCAAAGUGGUGGUAUUACAGGCGCGAUACCUAAUUCAAGCGUUAAAUAACAUUAAAGAAUAAUUUGGAGGCUCCCUCCCAGCCUCCAGAUCUUCACCAGCCGUCAAAAUUAAGCUCAACUUCUGUCUCCUCCAAGAAUUUUCCACAGGAUUCCAAUCUGGAGGGAUCAGUGUCCUCUAAGUGUAGCCUUUAUUGACUCUUCCACCAUUUGGUCUCCUAUAUUACCAUCAGGAAAAAUUAGUGAAAGACUUUCAAAUGGACAAAAAAGAGCAAAUGUCACUGAAUGUCCAGCCUAGAGCACUCUUCCAGUUUAUCACUGCCUUCCAUUGCCUUUGAGCCAUUUACAACUCUAUAAGUCAUAGAGAACUGAUAAUAGUGCAAAUGACUUGAGUUCAUAGAAAUGCAAAUUCCUUGUGUCCCGUGGAAUGUACUCGAUGGUUGCCCUGUGGAUAAACUUCCUCUGCAAGUUCAUUUCAGCCUCCUGUUGACUUACAUGUGUGUGGUUCUUGGAAUUCUCCUUUUAACCAGUUAGAACAUCUUAACUACUUCCCAUUAAUUAAUGAGUUAAAUAAAAUCUUUAUAUUUUAA